rnacentral:tRNA from 3 species
GCCCAGGUAGCUCAGGCGGUAGAGCACGUCCUUGGUAAGGACGGGGUCACCAGUUCAAAUCUGGUCCUGGGCUCCA